rnacentral:rRNA from 1 species
UGAGUACAAGAUGCUACGGCAUUGAAGCAGUCUAUGUCAUACUUCCAAGAAAAGCUUGCAAUGUCAUAAACAAAUAAUGCCUGUACCAUAACCGACACAGGUGGGUAGGUAGAGUAUACUAAGGGGCGCGAGAUAACUCUCUCUAAGGAACUCGGCAAAAUGACUCCGUAACUUCGGGAGAAGGAGUACCUUAUUUUAUAAGGUUGCAAUAACAAGGUCCAAGCAACUGUUUACCAAAAACACAGGUCUCCGCUAAGUCGUAAGACGAUGUAUGGGGGCUGACGCCUGCCCAGUGCCAGAAGGUUAAAGAAGUUGGUUAGCAUUAGCGAAGCUGAUAACUGAAGCCCUGGUGAACGGCGGCCGUAACGAUAACGGUCCUAAGGUAGCGAAAUUCCUUGUCGGGUAAGUUCCGACCCGCACGAAAGGCGUAAUGAUUUGGAUACUGUCUCGGAGAGGGGCUCGGUGAAAUAGACUUGUCUGUGAAGAUGCGGACUACCUGCACCUGGACAGAAAGACCCUAUGAAGCUUUACUGUAACUUGAGAUUGAAAUUGGACUUUAUUUGCGCAGUAUAGGUGGGAGACCUCGAAAGUAUUCUUGCGGGAAUAUUGGAGUCAUCAGUGAGAUACCACUCUUAUAAUGUUAGAUUUCUAACUUUGUAUCAUUAUCUGGUCAAAGAACAGUUUCAGGCGGGCAGUUUGACUGGGGCGGUCGCCUCCCAAAUGGUAACGGAGGCGCACAAAGGUUUCCUCUGAACGUGUAGAAAUCGUAUCUAGAGUGUAAAGGCAUAAGGAAGCUUGACUGUGAGACCUACAAGUCGAGCAGGGACGAAAGUCGGUCUUAGUGAUCUGACGGUGCUGAGUGGAAAGGCCGUCACUCAACGGAUAAAAGUUACUCUAAGGAUAACAGGCUGAUCUCCCCCAAGAGUUCACAUCGACAGGGAGGUUUGGCACCUCGAUGUCGGCUCAUCGCAUCCUGGGGCGGUAGUACGUCCCAAGGGUUGGGCUGUUCGCCCAUGAAAGCGGUACGCGAGCUGGGUUCAGAACGUCGUGAGACAGUUCGGUCCAUAUCCGGUGUAGGCGUUAGAAUAUUGAGAGGAGCCUUCUUUAGUACGAGAGGACCGAGAAGGACAUACCUCUGGUGUACCAGUUAUCGUGCCAACGGUAAACGCUGGGUAGCUAUGUAUGGAGAGGAUAACCGCUGAAAGCAUCUAAGUGGGAAGCCCACCUCAAGAUAAGUAUUCCC